rnacentral:rRNA from 1 species
AUCAACUUUCGAUUGGUAGGAUAGAGGCCUACCAUGGUGGUAACGGGUAACGGGGUGUUAGGGCACGACACCGGAGAGGGAGCCUGAGAAACGGCUACCACAUCCAAGGAUGGCAGCAGGCGCGCAAAUUACCCAAUCCCGACACGGGGAGGUAGUGACAAUAAAUAACAAUACGGGGUUCUUUAGGAUCUCGUAAUUGGAAUGAGUACAAUUUAAAUCUCUUAACGAGGAACAAUUGGAGGGCAAGUCUGGUGCCAGCAGCCGCGGUAAUUCCAGCUCCAAUAGCGUAUAUUAAAGUUGUUGCAGUUAAAAAGCUCGUAGUUGAAUUUCGGGGUUAGUAGGUUGGUCAUGCCUCUGGUAUGUACUGGUCUCACUGAUUCCUCCUUCCUUAUGAACCGUAAUGCCAUUAAUUUGGUGUUGCGGGGAAUUUGGACUGUUACUUUGAAAAAAUUAGAGUGUUUAAAGCAAGCUAACGCUUGAAUACAUUAGCAUGGAAUAAUGAAAUAGGACGUUCGAUCUUAUUUUGUUGGUUUCUAGGAUUGACGUAAUGAUUAAUAGGGAUAGUUGGGGGCAUUAGUAUUCAAUUGUCAGAGGUGAAAUUCUUGGAUUUAUUGAAGACUAACUACUGCGAAAGCAUUUGCCAAGGAUGUUUUCAUUAAUCAAGAACGAAAGUUAGGGGAUCGAAGACGAUCAGAUACCGUCGUAGUCUUAACCAUAAACUAUGCCGACUAGGGAUCGGAUGAUGUUAAUUUUUUAAUGACUCAUUCGGCGCCUUACGGGAAACCAAAGUGUUUGGGUUC